GACGAACCGUGCGAACGUUGUUCGGAAUCACUGGGCUUAAAGGGCGCGUAGGCGGGCGGUCAAGUCUGUGGUGAAAUCCUUCGGCUCAACCGGAGAAUAGCUGGAGAUACUGGCCGUCUCGAGGGGGGUAGGGGCAUGUGGAACUUCCGGUGGAGCGGUGAAAUGCGUUGAUAUCGAUAGGAACUCCGGUGGCGAAGGCGGCAUACUGGUCCACUUCUGACGCUGAGGCGCGAAAGCCAGGGGAGCAAACGGG
rnacentral:rRNA from 1 species